rnacentral:rRNA from 1 species
AUCCGGAAAAUCAAGGCUGAGGCGUGAUGACGAGGCACUGCGGUGCUGAAGCAACAAAUGCCCUGCUUCCAGGAAAAGCCUCUAAGCAUCAGGUAACAUCAAAUCGUACCCCAAACCGACACAGGUGGUCAGGUAGAGAAUACCAAGGCGCUUGAGAGAACUCGGGUGAAGGAACUAGGCAAAAUGGUGCCGUAACUUCGGGAGAAGGCACGCUGAUAUGUAGGUGAAGUCCCUCGCGGAUGGAGCUGAAAUCAGUCGAAGAUACCAGCUGGCUGCAACUGUUUAUUAAAAACACAGCACUGUGCAAACACGAAAGUGGACGUAUACGGUGUGACGCCUGCCCGGUGCCGGAAGGUUAAUUGAUGGGGUUAGCGCAAGCGAAGCUCUUGAUCGAAGCCCCGGUAAACGGCGGCCGUAACUAUAACGGUCCUAAGGUAGCGAAAUUCCUUGUCGGGUAAGUUCCGACCUGCACGAAUGGCGUAAUGAUGGCCAGGCUGUCUCCACCCGAGACUCAGUGAAAUUGAACUCGCUGUGAAGAUGCAGUGUACCCGCGGCAAGACGGAAAGACCCCGUGAACCUUUACUAUAGCUUGACACUGAACAUUGAGCCUUGAUGUGUAGGAUAGGUGGGAGGCUUUGAAGUGUGGACGCCAGUCUGCAUGGAGCCGACCUUGAAAUACCACCCUUUAAUGUUUGAUGUUCUAACGUUGACCCGUAAUCCGGGUUGCGGACAGUGUCUGGUGGGUAGUUUGACUGGGGCGGUCUCCUCCUAAAGAGUAACGGAGGAGCACGAAGGUUGGCUAAUCCUGGUCGGACAUCAGGAGGUUAGUGCAAUGGCAUAAGCCAGCUUGACUGCGAGCGUGACGGCGCGAGCAGGUGCGAAAGCAGGUCAUAGUGAUCCGGUGGUUCUGAAUGGAAGGGCCAUCGCUCAACGGAUAAAAGGUACUCCGGGGAUAACAGGCUGAUACCGCCCAAGAGUUCAUAUCGACGGCGGUGUUUGGCACCUCGAUGUCGGCUCAUCACAUCCUGGGGCUGAAGUAGGUCCCAAGGGUAUGGCUGUUCGCCAUUUAAAGUGGUACGCGAGCUGGGUUUAGAACGUCGUGAGACAGUUCGGUCCCUAUCUGCCGUGGGCGCUGGAGAACUGAGGGGGGCUGCUCCUAGUACGAGAGGACCGGAGUGGACGCAUCACUGGUGUUCGGGUUGUCAUGCCAAUGGCACUGCCCGGUAGCUAAAUGCGGAAGAGAUAAGUGCUGAAAGCAUCUAAGCACGAAACUUGCCCCGAGAUGAGUUCUCCCUGACUCCUUGAGAGUCCUGAAGGAACGUUGAAGACGACGACGUUGAUAGGCCGG